AUGUCCAGUAAAGUCUAUGAUAAAGUUCUGUCAGUGCAACAGUACCAAUAUCACAUCCCACACAGUGUGCUUCUGCUCAAUAAAAUAACAGUCGCAAUAAAGUGUCAAGUUGUGAAUAUAAUUUAACCAGUGCUGGUAUAUAUCAAUGGAAUCUCGGAUACCAGCAACAAACUAACAGUUACUAAUAUACCACCAAUACAGGUAUAUAGUAAUACGAUCUCUAGAUGAUCGGCAAUGUUAGUAAAAAAAGUUCAAAGUGUUUAUAUUAAAAAUUCCAUAUUUAUUGAAAAUGAAAUUAAAAUCAGAAUUCACUCACAAAAUAGAAGUGUAGUAUUCCAGCAAAUGAGUCUUUGUUGGUAAGAAAAUUGGGUGAUGGUCAGCAAUCUGAGGGAUAACUUUCUCCGGCCGGUGAAAGGAUCUUACUGCGUUAGGGGAGGUGAAACACCUCUCGCGUGCGUUCCAUUCAGUGUGCCCGAUUUGCGUUCCUCGGUUGCUGUAUCGAUGUACGGGAAUUGCCGAAAAUGCCUUACGCGUUUCGUGACCAUUCACAGACCCUUCUUCCGAGGCGGAUCUUUUAGAACUUUUUUACGAACAUUGCCGAUCAUCUAGAGAUCGUAUUACUAUAUACCUGUAUUGGUGGUAUAUUAGUAACUGUUAGUUUGUUGCUGGUAUCCGAGAUUCCACUGAUAUAUACCAGCAUUGGUUAAAUUAUAUUCACAACUUGACACUUUAUUGCGACUUAUUUUAUUGAGCAGAAGCACACUGUGUGGGAUGUGAUAUUGGUACUGUUGCACUGACAGAACUUUAGUUUAUAAUGGACUUUACUGGACAUUUUUUCAUCGCUUUGGAUUUUAUUGGACUAUCAAGCUGAUUUGGAUAAUCUACUUUUAUAUAUUUCUACACUUUCAUUGUAGUCAAUCCUGAAGUUUUUUUUUCCCACUUUUUUAUAUUCAGUGUUUUCGCUGUUU